CAGGGUGAUUGGCUUUGGUGUUCCAAUUAAAAGAUGGCCUUGAACUUAAGUCUCUGAGAUUGGAAAGCAAGAUGCUGCGAAGAACAGAACACAGACUCUGGGUCGGGAAACAUACGGAUUGGAAGGCUGCCUCAACUAUUUGCGGACUAUACACUUGGAGGGAAAAAGACAGGCUUAAUUUUCAAAUCAUCUUUGGAGGUGUGGGAGUGACCCAAGCCUUCUAUUCUGCAAAGAAAAGGAAGAACCCAGAACAGG